UACGGAGGGUGCAAGCGUUAUCCGGAUUCACUGGGUUUAAAGGGUGCGUAGGUGGGUCUGUAAGUCAGUGGUGAAAUCUCCGAGCUUAACUCGGAAACUGCCGUUGAUACUAUUUGUCUUGAAUAUUGUGGAGGUAAGCGGAAUAUGUCAUGUAGCGGUGAAAUGCUUAGAUAUGACAUAGAACACCAAUUGCGAAGGCAGCUUACUACACAACGAUUGACGCUGAGGCACGAAAGCGUGGGGAUCAAACAGG
rnacentral:rRNA from 1 species